UUUAUUUACUUAUCUUAAGAAUAAUGAAAUAUAAAAAAGGUUCAAAGUUGAGAAUAGUUUUGAUCUUUACUAGUGUGAUUUUAUCGCCAAGUUUCUUGAAUGUGAUCAAUCAUUUCUCGAUACAAAUGUUGCAAAAAGUCGUAUAUUUUUUAUUAUGGUUGAAUGUUUAGUUUUAUUUUUAAGGAAAUAGAAGUUAUUAAAUGUUGGUGGCUCAUCAUGCAGUGCAUAUGAGAAGGGCAUGCUUUCAAAGGUUAAGACUGCUCCCCUGAUUCCUACAGCAAAAAAAACAACUUUAAAAUGCUGGUGAUAAUAUUUUAAAGAGUGCACCUGAUCGAAAAAAAGGUGAAUGACGUCAAAUGUUCGAACAUUCGAUUCUUGGAAAUCAACAAGUGGAAUAAGAAGUUUAUAAAAUUGUAAUUUAUAAAACUCAUCACAAUUAUAUUAUUAAAAAAUUU